GAAAUGCGAUAAGUAAUGUGAAUUGCAGAAUUCAGUGAAUCAUCGAAUCUUUGAACGCACCUUGCGCUCCUUGGUAUUCCUUGGUGCAUGCCUGUUUGAGUAUCAUGAAAUCUUCAAAGUAAAUCUUUUGUUAACUCAAUUGGUUUCUACUUUGGUAUUGGAGGUCUUUGCAGCUUCACACCUGCUCCUCUUUGUUCGUUAGCUGGAUCUCAGUGUUAUGCUUGGUUCCACUCGGCGUGAUAAGUUAUCUAUCGCUGAGGACACUGUAAAAGGUGGCCAAGGUAAAUGCAGAUGAACCGCUUCUAAUAGUCCAUUGACUUGGACAAUACUUUUAUGAUCUGAUCUCAAAUCAGGUAGGACUACCCGCUGAACUUAAGC
rnacentral:misc_RNA from 1 species